rnacentral:rRNA from 1 species
GACGAACGCUGGCGGCGUGCCUAAUACAUGCAAGUCGAACGACUGGCGGACGGGUUAGUAAUGUCUGGGAAACUGCCCGAUGUAGGGGCAUAACACCUGGACUCGGUAGCUAAUAUCGCAUCUCAUCCGAUGUGCCAUGAUGGGAUUAGCUAGUAGGUGGGGUAACGGCUCACCUAGGCGACGAUCCCUAGCUGGUCUGAGAGGAUGACCAGCCACACUGGGACGGAGACACGGUCCAGACUCCUACGGGAGGCAGCAGUGGGGAAUAUUGCACAAUGGGCGCAAGCCUGAUGCAGCCAUGCCGCGUGUAUGAAGAAGGCCUUCGGGUUGUAAAGUACUUUCAGCGAGGAGGCGUUACUCGCAGAAGAAGCACCGGCUAACUCCGUGCCAGCAGCCGCGGUAAUAC